AACGAACGCUGGCGGCAGGCUUAACACAUGCAAGUCGAGCGCCCCGCAAGGGGAGCGGCAGACGGGUGAGUAACGCGUGGGAAUCUACCCAUCUCUACGGAAUAACGCAUGGAAACGUGUGCUAAUACCGUAUACGUCCUUCGGGAGAAAGAUUUAUUGGAGAUGGAUGAGCCCGCGUUGGAUUAGCUAGUUGGUGGGGUAAAGGCCUACCAAGGCGACGAUCCAUAGCUGGUCUGAGAGGAUGAUCAGCCACACUGGGACUGAGACACGGCCGAGACUCCUACGGGAGGCAGCAGUGGGGAAUAUUGGCCAAGGGGCGCAAGCCUGAUGCAGCCAUGCCGAGUGGGUGAUGAAGGCCCUAGGGUUGUAAAGCUCUUUAACCGGUGAAGAUAAUGACGGUAACCGGAGAAGAAGCCCCGGCUAACUUCGUGCCAGCCGCCGCAGUAAGAC
rnacentral:rRNA from 1 species